AAAAACUGAAAUCAUGAAGACAAAAGAUGUGCACAGACCACAUUGAUUUUGGCAACAAGAUAAAUCUUUGAUUGAGCUCUGAAUCGGUCCCAGAAGGGUCAAAAGACUGGAAACCCAAGGAUAUUCAUGUUACUGGGAAAACUGAAAUUUGGGAAACAGCAGCUGUGGCACUGGCAUUUCUCUUCUCAUCAUUUUGGACUAUGACUGCAUAAACUAAGCAUAUCCACAAAGCAACUGUACUGAUUCAUCUUGAUCUAUUUUCUUCUAUUAUGACACUGUUAUAUUAAAAUAAAGACCAAUG
rnacentral:lncRNA from 1 species